AAAUGUAGUAAAUAGCUGAGCUGCUGAGGUUUUUCAAAAAUAGAAUCUGGAGUUUGUGAUGUAACACUGCUCUGUGAAGAUAAUUAAUUACUGCUGUGUACUAUGUGUAUCGUUAGCAAUACUGAUAAGUAAUUAUGGGGGGGGGGGGUAAUCUGCUGUCAUAGUAACAGCACAGACUCAUCACACUGGACCAGAGUUUCUCCAGUUGUGCUCAGAUCACCACCGGAGGCUCCACCCACAUUUGAUCCCACAGUAUGUGGCGUUUGACCCGAAUCUCCGUCAUUACUCAGAUUACGGAGUAAUCUGAGUAAUGACGGAGUAAUGACGGAGAUUACUCACUGGAUUAGAGUGAAUCCAAACACUCUAAUCCAGAGUGUUUGGAUUCAGUUAAGACAUGUUUAACGUGUCAGACACCACAGAUGCUAACAAAGAACGUUUCUCCAAAAAAACCCAACUGAAGUCACGCCUCAGUUGGCAGCUGCAAGUCAACUGCAGGUCAGUUAAGAGUUCAGUCACAAGUCAGUCGUAGAUCUGUUCCAGGUCAAAGUUUCCUCACAGAUCAGUCAUAUGUCUGUCGCAAGUCAGUGGUAGGUUUAUCGCAGGUCAAAGUUUCCUCACAGGUCAGUCAUAUGUCUGUCGCAAGUCAGUGGUAGGUUUAUCGCAGGUCAAAGUUUCCUCACAGGUCAGUCAUAUGUCUGUCGCAGGUCAAAGUUUCCUCACAGAUCAGUCAUAUGUCUGUCGCAAGUCAGUGGUAGGUUUGUCGCAGGUCAAAGUUUCCUCACAGGUCAGUCAUAUGUCUGUCACAGGUCAAAGUUUCCUCACAGAUCAGUCAUAUGUCUGUCGCAAGUCAGUGGUAGGUUUGUCGCAGGUCAAAGUUUCCUCACAGAUCAAAAUUCCGUCACAAGUCAAGUUGUAGGUCUGUCAUAGAUCAAAGUUCCAUCACAGAUCAGUCUUAUGUCUGUCGCAAGUCAGUGGUAGGGUUAGUCACAUGUCACUCAUAGGCCAGUCACAGUUCAGUCGUAGGUUUGUCGCAGGUCAGUAGGUUGUAGAUUAAAGUUAUGCUGCAGGUCAGGUCAGAUCACAGGUCCGUCAUGCAGAGCUGGUUUCCACAACGUCUGCAAAAAAAAAAAAAAAACAGGAAGAGGAUGUGUUUGAACUUUGGACAUGAGCCAAUCAGGACACAGUAAGUA